rnacentral:rRNA from 1 species
AACGUAGGACGCAAGCGUUAUCCGGAGUACUGGGCGUAAAGCGCGGGCAGGCGGUUCUGCCAGUCUGAUGUGAAAUCUCCCCGCUCAACGGGGAGCAGCCAUUGGAAACUACAGAACUGGAGUCUGACAGAGGUAGGCGGAAUUCCGGGUGGAGUGGUGAAAUGCGUAGAGAUCCGGAGGAACACCAGAGGCGAAGGCGGCCUACUGGGUCAGUACUGACGCUGAGCCGCGAAAGCCAGGGGAGCGAACGGG